rnacentral:rRNA from 1 species
GACGAACCGUGCGAACGUUAUUCGGAAUCACUGGGCUUAAAGCGCGUGUAGGCGGAUGGGAACGUCGGUAGUUGAAAGCCCCCGGCUCAACCGGGGAAGUGGUGCCGAAACGACCCGUCUGGAGGGACGUAGGGGGACCUGGAACUUCCGGUGGAGCGGUGAAAAUGCGUUGAGAUCGGAAGGAACGCCCGUGGCGAAAGCGAGGUCCUGGACGUCUACUGACGCUGAGACGGCG